rnacentral:tRNA from 1 species
ACCCGGCUUCACCAGAUCGGUAGAGCGUGAGACUCUUAAUCUCAAGGUUGUGGGUUCGACCCCCACGUCGGGCU